GGAAUUUUGUCCUAGCCAGUUGCCUCAAGGAUCUUAUGUCUACAGGGAUGGGAUGAAGCUCUCACUGUCAUGGCAUAUGAAUACAAAAGAAUAGGCUGGACUUAAUGAAUGGCACUAGAGUUUACAGCCAUAGCACCGAGAGGCACAAAUUGGACAUGAAGAAGAAUUUAAGAAGAAUUUCUACUUGGAAGGAGAGGACAGAUGUUAAUCCAAGGCUGAAGCAGAGCAGCUGACCUUCCGCGUACCUCCAUGUUGCUGAAAUAUUGAUUGAUUCAGGAGCUAAUCUGGAAAGUGGUGGCUUUGAUCUUAAAAAAAAUUACUCACCCUCACUAAAAUACACAAAAGAGGGAAUCUUAGGGUCUUGUCCCAACAGAUGUGUAACAUAGAAUAUGAGUGAUUGUUAUAAGAGUGUGUUUGAUAGUUUUACGAUAGCUUAUCUCCACACAUUCUGACUGUGUGGGAGGUAGGCAGCCAGUGAGGAAGCCCAGUGAGACCUCCUUCUAAAGAUGACACCCAUGCUUCAUCUGAGGGACCAGUGUGAGGACAGCAGAGCACUCCAGGUGGGACAUGUGAUAAUGCCACAUAUAGUAUGACUUGAUUAGCAAGAACUCAAACUAAAUUGAACUUCUACUGUUUAUAAAUUUGGCAACAUGGAGUUUCAAGCACAGACUAACCAAGGCAAUUUGUGCACUUUCUACAUGAUGCUUCAGCAGUGACUCAGGCCUCUAAUAGAUG